rnacentral:rRNA from 1 species
GAUGAACGCUGGCGGCGUGCCUAAUACAUGCAAGUCGAGCGAACGGACGAGAAGCCUGCUUCUCUGAUGUUAGCGGCGGACGGGUGAGUAACACGUGGAUAACCUACCUAUAAGACUGGGAUAACUUCGGGAAACCGGAGCUAAUACCGGAUAAUAUUUUGAACCGCAUGGUUCAAAAGUGAAAGACGGUCUUGCUGUCACUUAUAGAUGGAUCCGCGCUGCAUUAGCUAGUUGGUAAGGUAACGGCUUACCAAGGCAACGAUGCAUAGCCGACCUGAGAGGGUGAUCGGCCACACUGGAACUGAGACACGGUCCAGACUCCUACGGGAGGCAGCAGUAGGGAAUCUUCCGCAAUGGGCGAAAGCCUGACGGGGCAACGCCGCGUGAGUGAUGAAGGUCUUCGGAUCGUAAAACUCUGUUAUUAGGGAAGAACAUAUGUGUAAGUAACUGUGCACAUCUUGACGGUACCUAAUCAGAAAGCCACGGCUAACUACGUG